GACGAACGCUGGCGGCGUGCUUAACACAUGCAAGUCGAACGGAAAGGCCCUGCUUUUGUGGGGUGCUCGAGUGGCGAACGGGUGAGUAACACGUGAGUAACCUGCCCUUGACUUUGGGAUAACUUCAGGAAACUGGGACUAAUACCGGAUAGGAGCUCCUGCUGCAUGGUGGGGGUUGGAAAGUUUCGGCGGUUGGGGAUGGACUCGCGGCUUAUCAGCUUGUUGGUGGGGUAGUGGCUUACCAAGGCUUUGACGGGUAGCCGGCCUGAGAGGGUGACCGGCCACAUUGGGACUGAGAUACGGCCCAGACUCCUACGGGAGGCAGCAGUGGGGAAUAUUGCACAAUGGGCGGAAGCCUGAUGCAGCAACGCCGCGUGCGGGAUGACGGCCUUCGGGUUGUAAACCGCUUUCGCCUGUGACGAAGCGUGAGUGACGGUAAUGGGUAAAGAAGCACCGGCUAACUACGUGCCAGCAGCCGCGGUGAUACGUAGGGUGCGAGCGUUGUCCGGAUUUAUUGGGCGUAAAGGGCUCGUAGGUGGUUGAUCGCGUCGGAAGUGUAAUCUUGGGGCUUAACCCUGAGCGUGCUUUCGAUACGGGUUGACUUGAGGAAGGUAGGGGAGAAUGGAAUUCCUGGUGGAGCGGUGGAAUGCGCAGAUAUCAGGAGGAACACCAGUGGCGAAGGCGGUUCUCUGGGCCUUUCCUGACGCUGAGGAGCGAAAGCGUGGGGAGCGAACAGGCUUAGAUACCCUGGUAGUCCACGCUGUAAACGGUGGGUACUAGGUGUGGGGUCCAUUCCACGGGUUCCGUGCCGUAGCUAACGCUUUAAGUACCCCGCCUGGGGAGUACGGCCGCAAGGCUAAAACUCAAAGGAAUUGACGGGGCCCCGCACAAGCGGCGGAGCAUGCGGAUUAAUUCGAUGCAACGCGUAGAACCUUACCUGGGUUUGACAUGGAUCGGGAGUGCUCAGAGAUGGGUGUGCCUCUUUUGGGGUCGGUUCACAGGUGGUGCAUGCCUGUCGUCAGCUCGUGUCGUGAGAUGUUGGGUUAAGUCCCGCAACGAGCGCAACCCUUGUUCACUGUUGCCAGCACGUUAUGGUGGGGACUCAGUGGAGACCGCCGGGGUCAACUCGGAGGAAGGUGGGGAUGACGUCAAGUCCUCAUGCCCCUUAUGUCCAGGGCUUCACGCAUGCUACAAUGGCUGGUACAGAGAGUGGCGAGCCUGUGAGGGUGAGCGAAUCUCGGAAAGCCGGUCUCAGUUCGGAUUGGGGUCUGCAACUCGACCUCAUGAAGUCGGAGUCGCUAGUAAUCGCAGAUCAGCAACGCUGCGGUGAAUACGUUCCCGGGGCU
rnacentral:rRNA from 1 species